GUUGCUUCCAGGGAAUCCCCAGCAACCACUGACUGGGGGAGGAUUUGGAAAUCAGCACUCUCAAAACAUAACUCCCUUUAGCUCAGACUCGUUCAAUACUGGUGUUAAUGGAUCUUCCAACUUUCUGGAACAUGGUAGAUGUAAUGACUGGCAAAAUUCCGUUCAGCUAUCGAAGUUCCAGUCUAAUUCUUUCCCAUUGACUGAAUCGUUCAUUAACAGCCAUUUGCCACAAAUUAGUGCAAGGGAAGCGGCGGCUCAUUUACAGAAUAGCCCUCUUGAUUUUACUUCCACCACCUCAGUUUCUCCUCCUUUUGAAGAUUCAAGGGGAGAAAUCCAAUUCCGGCAAAGUAUGGCUAGUGCUGUUCAGAGUAUGAAUCAAACACCAUCUCAAGCAUGGGCCGAUAAUAAACAACAAUAUUCCCACAACUCAAAUAAUACUUUCGGCAACAACUUAAGUUCUCAGGUUCCCAACGAUGGUAGCAUGGCUUCUCUAAGCCACAGUAUGAACCAAAACAAUGAGAACUUUGGCAGAAGGAUGGACAUGUCAUUGAUUGGUAGAUCGAGUGGAGGUUCUUCGACACUCGUGCAGCACACCGAGCAUGAAAAGUUGACCCCAGAUUCAAGGACAAGGUCUAAUGAAGAAUACCUCUUGGAGCCAACAAAGCAACAAGUUGGUUUUAGUCCACAAGGCUAUGACUCCCUGGAUGAUCUUAUGACUGCAAUGAAACGGGAGCAAGACGGAGGCAUGUUAG
rnacentral:misc_RNA from 1 species